rnacentral:lncRNA from 1 species
ACAAAGGAGAGAGACGAGCUGUUGGGCCUCGGCGAGCGCCCGUGCGGACGGAAUCCGGCGGCUUUUGCGCGAAAGGUUUGCCGAGUCGGGUAACGCGGCCCGCCGGGAGCGGGUCGGGGGCCGGUCGCUUUCGCUGGAUCGAUCCUGCGAAUCCGCCGCUUUUGUUCGUUCGGUGACGUUGGGUGAGCAGAUCCGUUGUCUACGCAUCGUUCCGG